rnacentral:rRNA from 1 species
UGAAUCAAAACUUUCAACAACGGAUCUCUUGGUUCUGGCAUCGAUGAAGAACGCAGCGAAAUGCGAUAAGUAAUGUGAAUUGCAGAAUUCAGUGAAUCAUCGAAUCUUUGAACGCACAUUGCGCCCGCCAGUAUUCUGGCGGGCAUGCCUGUCCGAGCGU